rnacentral:rRNA from 1 species
UACAGAGGGUGCAAGCGUUAAUCGGAAUUACUGGGCGUAAAGCGCGCGUAGGUGGUUUGUUAAGUUGAAUGUGAAAUCCCCGGGCUCAACCUGGGAACUGCAUGCAAAACUGGCAAGCUAGAGUAUGGUAGAGGGUGGUGGAAUUCCCGGUGUAGCAGUGAAAUGCGUAGAGAUCGGGAGGAACACCAGUGGCGAAGGCGGCCUCUGG